UAUUAAAAAUUUCAUCUAUUUGUACUGUUGAAAACUGACGUGGUUAAUGAAAUAACCAGACAAUGACAUGUGACGUGCCACGCGUACCUCAUGCUAACAUACAGGAACCAAUUUUUAAUAGUAGUUUUAAAUGAGAUUUUUAACA
rfam:Gossypium raimondii Chr04_contig_1390, whole genome shotgun sequence.